rnacentral:rRNA from 1 species
GUCUACGGCCAUACCACCCAGAACGCGCCUAAUAUCAUGUGAUCUCAGAAGCUUAAGCAGGGGCCAGCCUGGUGGGUACUUAGAUGGGAGAGUGAACCAUAAAUUAUAGAGA